rnacentral:rRNA from 1 species
UCGCCCGUCACGUCAUGAAAGUUGGAUACGCCUGAAGCCGGUGGCCUAACUCGCAAGAGAGGGAGCCGUCGAGGGCGGAGCCAGCGAUUGGGACG